GUUCACCAGUAUUAUAAUGUCAGAACGUUAACAAAUUUGAUGUAUCUUAACAACAUAAAAAUUUUUGUGUGUUUGCUUAACCUCUUUCGCCAAACCAUUGCUAGUCUCUGCUGAAUGAAUAUCAAAUACCAGUAUAGGGAUGUGUCUGUUAAAUUAUGGAAUCAAAAAUAGUGUCACUCAUUUUCAACUGCUAAUCGUGUUUGUCGUGUUUCUUUGCCUAGUGUUAAGAUGUGAAAAUAUUCCUGUCUACGAUGAGCCAAGAUUACCAGCGACUGUGAUACCCUUCCACUAUAACAUACAGCUAAUAACCCAUUUGGAAAAUUCGUCCCAAUUCCGCUACGAGGGAGUCGUUAACAUAUCCAUUCACAUCCAGAAAGAGACCAAGGAGCUAGUACUUCAUGCAGCCGGCUUUAAAAUGAAUACGAAGGACAUAACAUUAUGGUGCAAUGACCAGGCUCCACAGUUGGUAAAAGUCAGGUUCAACCGGCGCCGCAGCUAUAUGGUUCUCACCUUUGACAAGAACUUGAGUCUGAGCAGGUUCUAUACACUGAGGAUGUCGUUUCGACGCCCCAUGUCCGAUGACAGCCAGGCUGGUUAUUUUGUGCGCCACUAUUUGGACCGAGAAACAUCUCGUAAAAACUGGUACUCUCUGACUCAUUUCAAUCGAAAUUCCAUCCGCAAUACAAUGCCCAGUUUUGACGAGCCUUCCUUGAGGGCCACUUUUAAUGUGACUCAUGGUCAUCACAAACGCUACCAAAGUUUUAGCAACAUGAAAGUCCUGAAGGUCCUGCCCAACCACCAGUUGGUGGAUUAUGUUUGGUCCGUUCAUGAGACGUCCCCCCCAAUUCCCACAUACCUGCUUGCCUUCGCCCUGAACAACUUCACCUGCCACUUUAGCCAGUCGGCCAAUGCCAAGCCCAUUAGCUUUCGCACCUGCUCGCCGGCAGGACAGGUGCGCGAAACCACAUUUGCCGCGCAGGUAGCGCCGCAGCUGCUUACCCACUUUGAGGAGAUAUUGCAGGUCCAGCUUCCUCUAGAAAAGAUAGAUCAGCUGGUGGUGGACAACUACCCCACGGCUGCCCUGGAGAACCUUGGCUUGGUGGUUUACGGAAGCAAGCUGAUCCUGGAAAGCGAGCAGCCCGGCAGAUCGCUGACGCGGACACAAUUGCAAACCAUGGAACUGGUAGCCCACGAGAUGGCCCACAUGUGGUUCGGGAACCUACUGGGCCUCGAAUGGUGGACGGACCUCUGGCUGCUGGAGGGCCUAUCUGUUUUUCUCCAGUCGUUGGCUAUAGACGGGCUGCAGCCACGGAUGGGCCAGCGGAUGCUGGUCCGCAACCGGGAGUCGGCACUGAUGCACGAGACGCGGAUGGGGGGUCUCAAGCUGGUGCAGCGAACAAUGCCCAUCGCAUCGGACACGUUCAUGUUUAAGAAGGCCACUUCUCUUAUCGUCAUGCUGUGCUCCACUUUGGGCAACACCACUUUCUUCGAUGGCCUGCAGAGGCACCUGUGGCAGCACACCUACGAGAGCAGCACCCCCGACGACUUUUUACGGGCGAUGCAGCUGGCGAGCGAGAGGCAUGACUCGCUCCCAGAAGGCUACGAUGUAAAGACCAUAAUGAACAUAUGGACCAUGCAGAGCGGCUACCCGCUGGUGACGGUCAGCAGGAGCGAGGGUGGACUAGAUGUAGUCCAGAGUCACGCACUGAAUGAAAACAGUACGGAGCUUUGGUGGAUCCCACUCACAUUUACCAUCCAGGGCUCGGCCGACUUCCAGCACACUCUGCCGAAGGCCUGGCUCACUCCGGACCAGCCGCAAUUGCAUCUGAAUCUUUCGCUACCCCAGAACGACUGGGUGAUCUUCAACCUUCAGGCUCUCGGCUACUACAGAGUCCAGUACGAUGAGCUCAACCUGAAACUUUUAGCCAAAGCGCUCUUCAACAAUUUUCGUAACAUCCACGUCCUGAACAGGGCCCAGAUCGUAAGUGACAUCCUGUUCUUGAGGCGCCAAGGCCGUAUAAGCUGGAGCAACGCCUUCGAGGUUCUGAAGUACAUUCUUGACGAAGACGAGUAUGAGCCGCUGAUGGCCUUCGUUCUAGGGGUUACUCACGGCUUCUGGGGCUUAUCGCCGGACACUUCCAUUUCCAUUGCGAAAUGGCUGGGCAUUGCCGGAAAGUGGUACGCGGAGUUCAUCAGUUACACGUUCGACAAGUUCGUGAUGCAGGAGCAAAGUUUGAAUACCCUCGAUACGCCGCACUAGCUACCACCACGGAACGAAAGGGCCCAGUUGGGGAACCGCAGGAUAAUGGAGCUGAGCAGCCCCAGUGGCACUUCCUCCUGCGCGAACAAGCAAAAUGAAACCACCAUCAAUGAACCGCAAUUCAACAGCAAAAGCAACAGCCACGACGGCAGCUUCGCACAAUGCCAACGGACCCGGCCGUAGGAGGCAAUGGCUGGGAGUAGUAGUGGCCAACUGGGAUCCGGGGCGAUGGUAACUGGUAACUGCGGCUACACUUACAACCCGGCGAAUGCCAAGGCGCCAACUGAAAUAAUGACGGCAGGCGAAAUAACAAUAAAGGCUAAGACUCCGGCUGAGGGGGGAGCCAGAACCAAGUAAAGGACAAUAUCGAUGCUCUUUUUCCGAAUAAUGAAGAGCGGAAAAGACAAUGCCAGCCAGGACCCUAAUGCGGCCAUUCCAACGGCAAUGCAAUGAACUUCUUCGGUGCAAGUUCUUAAAGGACUUUAAGAUCGUCCAACGCGAAAAUGUAAAACAUUCACAAUCUCACAAAAUUCAGUCUAUAUUUGGUAUUGUAUGGAAAUAUCCGUGAACAUUGGUUAAAUAAUUGUUUCGCUUUGAUCGUAUACCCAAUUGCUAUAUCCAAAUGCAAUUGAAACCAAUUAAAUGCUAAUAAAAUAAAA
rnacentral:misc_RNA from 1 species